rnacentral:rRNA from 1 species
UACGUAGGGUGCGAGCGUUGCCCGGAUUUAUUGGGCGUAAAGGGCGCGUAGGCGGCCACGCACGUCCGUUGUGAAAUCGCCCGGCUCAACUGGGCGGGGUCAGCGGAUACGGUGUGGCUCGAGCAAGCUAGGGGGCAAUGGAAUUCCCGGUGUAGUGGUGGAAUGCGUAGAUAUCGGGAGGAACACCAGUGGCGAAGGCGGCUCACUGGACCGGGUACUGACGCUGAUGCGCGAAAGCGUGGGGAGCAAACGGG